UUUGCCCCUUCCUUAGGCUUUCCUGGGAUAAUUUUCCCUAACGUAUUUAUGUUCUGUAAAACUGUUUUGAAGAAGAUGAGUUGGAAAAAGAAACAGUACAUAUAGCAGGAGAAAGGAAUAGAAUAUGUUUAGCCAAGGAAUCUAAACAGAAAAAUGGGCUUGAGGAUUCUUCCAAGCCAUGCUAGACUUGGGACAGGUUCAGAGGAUAGAACCUGUGGGAGGCCUGGGGAACAGGUAGAGGGAUUGGGAGAGAGAAACUAGCAGGUGUAAUACAGGUGAUUGAUAGGGAAAGUCACAGUUGGACAUCGACAAAAGAGGUAGAGAGUGAGUUUUCUAGGUAAGUUGAGGCAAGGUAUGAGAGUAGUUGAAACAGGCCGCUAGUUUGAUGUGUUUAAAUACAUUGAGUUCAAAAUAGGUACUAUUUAGCAAGAGUUGGAGGAGCUGAAAGUCAUGUGGCAGAUCUUAUUGGGAAGGAAAUUGGAGGAAUAAAAUAUCAGGGUAGUUGAUAGAAGCUGUAAGUAGUUGGAGUAAGGAAAUGGCUUCUUACCUGGGAGGUGAAGUAUAAAGUUAAUGUGUCCAAGUUCAUGUAUAUCUCUGGCGUGCAUGGUGGCCUUUAGUCUGGGUGUGAGGCUGCUAGGACACUUCUGAUUUAUCUCUACCAACCAGUUUACCUGUUCAGGUAUCUAGGGGCUGUAUAGUCCAUUUUGUGUUUAUGCAGAAUAACCUGAAAUCCUUAGGUAAGUUCUCAGGAGAGUGUUUGGAUACUGGCUGCAGGCCCUUGGGUGCCACAGAUCUAUGUUUGGUGUUUAUUGUGCUCUGUUUUGAAGCCUUGGUCAGUUACCAGAGGUUAGGAAUUAGAGUAGUUGGUGAAGACACCAUUUGUGUAUUGGGGCCAAAGGAGAAUAAAAGGACAGCGUAGAGAGAUCAAGAGAAACAGGAUUCUUGUUUGCCUGGGGUGGAAAAAGAAGAAAGUCCAGGUGCAAGGAAGGAUGAUUUAGAAUUUUGUGCAAGAGCAUUGGGCAAAAGUCUGAAAGAACUGGGCUAUGAUUUGGUGGAAAGGAAACUGGGAAGGAUAAAGAAAGGGCUUUUGUUAGACUAGGAGAAUGAAGAAGCAUUAUGUAGCUAAAGGAGAUUUAGUGUGACGAUAAAUGUUGAAAUAGGGAUGAAGAGCAGGGCCUUGGGUGGUGGUUAAGUUGUUAGUUUGGGGCCAGGGGCCUGACCCGUAUCUCCCCGCUCCCCCCCAGGAGCGGUGGUGCCCCCCCUCCCCGGGCACGGGGCCAUGUACAACGGGAUCGGGCUGCCGACGCCCCGGGGCAGCGGCACCAACGGCUACGUCCAGCGCAACCUGUCCCUGGUGCGGGGCCGCCGGGGUGAGCGGCCUGACUACAAGGGAGAGGAGGAACUGCGGCGCCUGGAGGCUGCCCUGGUGAAGCGGCCUAAUCCUGACAUCCUGGACCACGAGCGCAAGCGGCGCGUGGAGCUGCGAUGCCUCGAGCUGGAGGAGAUGAUGGAAGAGCAGGGGUACGAGGAACAGCAGAUUCAGGAAAAAGUGGCGACCUUUCGACUCAUGCUGCUGGAGAAGGAUGUGAACCCUGGGGGAAAGGAUGAGACCCCAGGGCAGAGGCCAGCGGUAACUGAGACUCACCAGUUAGCAGAAUUGAAUGAGAAGAAGAAUGAGCGUCUCCGUGCUGCCUUUGGCAUCAGUGAUUCCUAUGUGGAUGGCAGCUCUUUUGAUCCUCAGCGUCGAGCUCGGGAAACUAAACAGCCAGUUCCUGAGCCUCCCAAACCUUACAGCCUUGUCCGAGAGUCUAGUAGCUCUCGUUCACCAACUCCAAAGCAAAAAAAGAAGAAAAAGAAGAAAGACAGAGGACGCAGGUCAGAGAGCAGCUCUCCUCGACGGGAGAGAAAGAAGAGCUCAAAGAAGAAGAAGCACAGGUCAGAAUCUGAGUCUAAGAAACGGAAGCAUAGGUCUCCCACUCCAAAGAGCAAGCGUAAAUCUAAGGACAAGAAGCGGAAACGGUCUCGAAGUACAACACCAGCUCCCAAGAGCCGCAGGGCACACCGUUCAACUUCUGCUGAUUCUGCUUCCUCCUCUGAUACUUCCCGUAGUCGGUCUCGAAGUGCUGCAGCUAAAAUCCAUACAGCUAACUUGACUGGGAGAAGCCCUUCUCCUGCCUCAGGGCGUCGAGGGGAGGGAGAUGCACCUUCCAAUGAACCAAGUACCACUAGCACACAACGGCCCAGCAGUCCAGAGCCUUCUACAAAGCAACCUAGUAGCCCUCAUGAAGACAAAGAUAAAGACAAGCCUGAGAAACCUGCAGCUCGACCUAGCCCCUCUCCAGAAAGGAGCAGCACAGGCCCAGAACCAUCUGUUCCCACUCCGCUCCUUGCUGAGCAACAUGGCAACUCCAUACAGCCUCUUGCAACAACCCCUUUAGGUCAAGAGCCAGUGAAUCCCCCAUCUGAGGCUUCUCCAACCCAGGGCCAUUCACCACCUAAAUCUCCUGAGAAACCUCAGUCAUCUUCAGAGAGCUGCCCACCAUCCCCUCAACCUACCAAAGUUUCUAGGCGUGCCAGCUCUUCCCCUGAAAGUUCUAAACCUGCACCAGCUUCUGGGGCCCGUCGAGAGAUUUCUUCUUCUCCCACAUCCAAGACUCGUUCACAUGGCCGAGCAAAGAGAGAUAAAUCACAUUCUCGCACCCCUUCCCGUAGGGUAGGGAGGUCCCGGAGCCCUACCACUACUAAGAGGGGGAGAUCGCGAUCUCGAACCCCUACCAAGAGAGGUCAUUCUAGGUCCCGGUCCCCUCAGUGGCGUAGGUCCCGGUCUGCACAGAGGUGGGGAAGGUCUAGGAGCCCCCAGAGACGUGGCCGCUCUAGGUCUCCUCAGCGACCAGGCUGGUCAAGGAGCAGAACUAACCAGAGAAGAGGCAGGUCUAGGUCAACAAGACGAGGCAGAUCACAAUCUAGAUCCCCAGCCACAAGGGGCAGGUCUCGUUCUAGAACACCAGCCCGUCGAGGCAGAUCCCGCUCUAGAACACCUGCUCGGCGAAGGUCACGGUCCAGGACACCUGCUAGACGUAGGUCUCGUUCAAGAACACCAGCCCGAAGGGGUAGGUCUAGGUCUAGAACACCUGCCAGGCGCAGAUCUAGGACCCGGUCACCAGUGCGACGGAGAUCUCGUAGUAGAUCACCAGCCAGGAGAAGUGGAAGGUCACGCUCUAGAACCCCAGCCAGGCGGGGGAGGUCGCGUUCUAGAACCCCAGCUAGACGCGGUGGUCGCUCGCGCUCUAGAACUCCAGCCAGACGUGGUGGUCGGUCACGCUCUAGAACUCCAGCAAGGAGAGGGAGAUCUCGGUCCAGGACACCAGCAAGACGAAGAUCUCGUAGUAGAAGUCUGGUUAGACGUGGAAGAUCUCAUUCUAGAACACCACAAAGAAGAGGCAGGUCUGGUUCAUCAUCGGAGAGGAAGAACAAAUCCAGAACAUCUCAAAGAAGGAGUAGGUCUAACUCAAGCCCAGAAGUUAAAAAAUCUCGUGUGUCUUCAAGGCGGAGCAGGUCUCUUUCUUCACCACGAUCCAAAGCAAAAUCUCGCUUGUCUUUGAGGCGAAGCCUUUCAGGGUCCUCUCCGUGCCCUAAACAGAAGUCACAGACACCACCCAGGCGUAGUCGCUCUGGAUCAUCCCAACCUAAAGCUAAAUCUAGAACACCACCUAGGCGCAGUCGCUCUGGUUCUUCUCUGUCACCUAAACAGAAAUCUAAAACACCAUCUAGACAAAGUCAUUCAAGUUCAUCUCCUCACUCUAAAGUGAAAUCUGGAACACCACCCAGGCAAGGGCCUGUAGCAAGUCCCCAGGUGAAUGAACAAUCUGUGACACCUCAAAGACAGAGCCGUUCUGAAUCAUCACCUGACCCUGAGGUGAAAUCUAGGACCCCUUCAAGACAAAGCUAUUCUGGGUCCUCUCCUAGAAUGAAAUCUAGCACACCUCCAAAACAGAGCCCAUCCAGAUUGUCAUCUCCACAAUCCAAAGGGAGGCUAGUGUCGCCAAGACGACAAAGCCAUUCUGGCUCCUCUUCUCCAAGUCCUACUCGGAUGACAUCUAGAACGCCUCCAAGGCAAAGCAGGUCAGUGUCUCCCUGCUCUAAGGUGGAAUCUAUAUUGCUGCCAAGACAUAGUCGUUCUAGGUCCUCCUCACCAGAUACCAAAGUAAAACCUAGAACACCACCAGGACAAAGUCACUCAGGGUCUGUUUCACCGUGCCCCAAAGUAAAGCCCCAUACUUCACCAGGGCAAAAUGUUUCUGCAUCAAAGUCACCAUGUCCUCAAGAGAAGUCUAGUGACUUACCAGCACAAAGUUGCUCUGGAUCCUUAAGCCUCUCUCCAGUAAAAUCUAGUUCACCACUAAGAGAGAGUCAUUUCAGAUCCUUAUCUCUGCAACAGAAAGGACAAUCCCAAACGUCACCAGAUCCCAGAUCUGAUACUUCAAGCCCAGAGGUAAAACAGAGUCACUUAGAAUCUCCAUCUUUGCAGAACAAAUCUCAGACACCACCUAAGGGUGGCCAGUCUAGGUCUUCAUCUCCAGUCACUGAGCUGGCACCCAUAUCUCCAAGACCAGACCGAAGUGAACUGUCGGCAAGUCCUAGGCUGAAAUCUGGAAUGUCACCUGAGCAGAGCAGGUCCCAGUCUGACUCUUUCUCAUAUACUGCAAUAGACGCUAAAUCUUGCCUGGGGCAGAGUAGAUCAGAGCCUUCUGAAUCAAAAGAGAAAGCUGGUUUACCUCUUCAGGGAGAUGUUAGUACAUCAUCACCUAGACUACGAGACAGGUUUAGUCCUUCUCCAGUGCAAGAUAGGCCUGAGUCUUCGCUGGUACCGAAAGACACACCUGAAACCCCAUCAAAGGAAAGAAGUGCUGCUGGGUCAUCUCCAGAUACAAAAGACCAAAGUAGUACAUUAGCUAAGUCAAACCAAGAUGAUGAACUAAUGGAGAUAGAGAAAUCGGAAGAAUCCUCCAACCAGGUUUUAUUCCAUUUGUCUCCAGAACUUAAAGAAAUGGUUGGAAAUAACUUUGAACCAUCUCCUGAUGUAGAAGAAAGGCCUGAUGUGUCUUUGACUCUUGACCAAAACCAGUCACAGGUUUCUUCAGAAGCAGAAGUCCCUACAGUGGCCUCAUCUUGGGGUGAGCCACAUUUUUCUCCAGAACAUAAAGAACUGUCUAGUUCUCCCCCGAGGGAGAAUAACUGUGGAUCGCUUUUAGAAUGUGGAAACUCAGGCCCUAUUGUUACAGACAUGAAUACUGGACUUUCUCCUGAGAUUAAAGAUGAUUUGAAUGAACCUUUCCUUAAUCAACUGGAGACAGAGCCAUCUCUAGACAUGAAAGAACAAUCAGCAAGAUCCUCCAGGCGCAGCAGUUCUGAGUUAUCCCCAGAUGCAGUGGAAAAGACAGGGAUGUCUUCAAAUCAGAGUGUCUCUUCUCCCGUACUUGAUAAUGUACCCAGAACACCCUCUAGAGAAAGAAGUAGUUCUGCAUCUUCUCCUGAACUGAAAGAUGGUUUACCCAGAACUCCAUCAAGGAGAAGUAGGUCUGGGUCUUCUCCAGGACUUAGAGAUGGCUCUGGGACUCCCUCAAGGCACAGCCUGUCUGGGUCCUCUCCUGGAAUGAAAGAUAUACCUAGAACACCGUCCAGGGGGAGAAGUGAAUGUGAUUCUUCCCCAGAACCAAAAGCUUUGCCUCAGACUCCUAGAGCAAGGAGUCAUUCUCCAUCAUCUCCAGAGCUCAAGUGUCUUACCCCCCAGAGAGAAAGAAGUGCAUCAGAAUCCUCAGUUGAACAGAAAGCUGAGACCAGGACACCUCUUGGGCAGAGAAGCCGGUCUGGAUCUUCUCAAGAACUUGAUGGGAAACCCAGUGCAUCUCCUCAGGAAAGGAGUGAGUCAGACUCUUCUCCUGAUUCCAAAGCCAAGAUACGACCCCCACUUAGACAGAGAAGUCGCUCUGGAUCAUCCCCAGAGGUUGACAGCAAAUCCCGACCUUCUCCUCAGCACAGUAGAUCUGGUUCCUCCCCUGAAUUGAAAGAUAAACCAAGAGUGGCACCCAGGGCACAGAGCGGUUCUGAUUCCUCUCCUGAACCCAAAACUCCUGCUGCUAGGGCCAUUCCCAGACGAAGCAGGUCCGGUUCAUCAAGCAAGGGCCGAGGACCUUCUCCUGACGGAAGUAGUAGUUCCGAGUCCUCUCCAGAACAUCCACCCAAAUCCAGAACUGCACGAAGAGGUUCCAGAUCAUCCCCUGAGCCCAAGACUAAGUCUCGCACACCACCUCGACGUCGAAGCUCUCGGUCAUCUCCUGAACUAGCUAGGAAAACCAGGCUUUCCCGAAGAAGCCGUUCUGCUUCAUCCUCACCAGAAACCCGCUCUAGAACUCCCCCAAGACGUCGAAGAAGUCCCUCAGUGUCUUCACCAGAACCAGCUGAAAAAUCGAGAUCUUCACGCCGACGGCGCUCAGCAUCAUCUCCACGCACCAAGACAACUUCAAGGAGAGGUCGUUCUCCUUCACCCAAGCCUCGUGGACUCCAGAGGUCUCGUUCUCGCUCAAGGAGGGAGAAAACCAGAACAACCCGACGUCGAGAUAGGUCUGGGUCUUCUCAAUCUACUUCUAGGAGAAGACAGAGGAGCAGGUCAAGGUCUCGGGUUACUCGGCGGAGGCGUGGAGGUUCUGGCUACCACUCACGGUCUCCUGCUCGACAGGAGAGUUCUCGAACUUCCUCUCGACGGAGAAGAGGUCGCUCUCGGACGCCCCCAGCCAGUCGGAAGCGUUCCCGCUCACGCACAUCACCAGCCCCAUGGAAACGCUCUAGGUCUCCAGCAGCACACCGGCGAUCCAGGUCCAGAACGCCCCUGAUCAGCCGCCGUAGGUCCAGAUCGCGAACCUCACCAGUCAGUCGGAGACGGUCAAGGUCUAGGACAUCAGUUACUCGCCGAAGGUCUCGGUCAAGGGCAUCCCCAGUGAGUCGAAGGCGAUCCAGGUCCAGAACACCUCCAGUAACUCGCCGUCGUUCAAGGUCCAGAACACCAGCCACACGACGGCGCUCCCGUUCCAGAACUCCACCAGUGACCCGCAGGAGGUCCAGGUCUAGAACUCCACUGGUAACAAGAAGGCGGUCUCGAAGCAGAACUUCACCUAUUACACGCAGAAGGUCAAGAUCUAGAACAUCCCCAGUUACUCGAAGGAGGUCACGCUCUCGAACCUCUCCGGUAACUCGAAGGAGGUCCCGCUCUCGAACCUCUCCCGUGACACGCCGCCGCUCUAGGUCACGAACACCACCUGCUAUCCGACGCCGCUCCAGGUCUCGAACACCACUUUUACCACGCAAACGUUCUCGAAGUCGCUCACCACUUGUUAUCCGCCGCCGUUCUAGAUCCCGUACUCCACGAACAACUCGGGGCAAACGGUCCCUCACGAGAUCUCCUCCAGCCAUCCGCAGGCGUUCUGCAUCUGGAAGUAGUUCUGAUCGUUCACGUUCUGCUACUCCUCCAACAACAAGAAAUCAUUCUGGUUCUCGGACCCCUCCAGUGGCACUCAAUAGCUCCAGAAUGAGCUGCUUUAGUCGUCCUAGCAUGUCACCAACUCCUCUUGACCGUUGUAGAUCACCUGGAAUGCUUGAACCCCUUGGUAGUUCUAGAACACCCAUGUCUGUCCUGCAGCAGGCUGGUGGCUCCAUGAUGGAUGGUCCAGGUCCCCGAAUACCUGAUCACCCUAGAACAUCUGUGCCAGAAAAUCAUGCUCAGUCUAGAAUUGCACUUGCCCUGACGGCCAUCAGUCUUGGCACUGCUCGGCCUCCUCCGUCCAUGUCUGCCGCUGGCCUUGCUGCAAGAAUGUCUCAGGUUCCAGCUCCGGUGCCUCUCAUGAGUCUCAGAACAGCCCCAGCUGCCAACCUUGCCAGCAGAAUUCCUCCUCCCUCUGCAGCAGCCAUGAACCUAGCCAGUGCCAGGACACCUGCUAUCCCAACAGCAGUAAAUCUGGCUGACUCACGAACACCAGCUGCAGCAGCAGCUAUGAACUUGGCCAGCCCCAGAACAGCAGUGGCACCUUCAACUGUGAACCUUGCAGACCCACGCACCCCCACCGCCCCAGCUGUGAACCUGGCAGGAGCCAGAACCCCAGCUGCCUUGGCAGCUCUAAGUCUCACAGGUUCUGGCACGCCCCCAACGGCUGCAAGUUACCCCUCCAGCUCCAGAACGCCACAGGCAGCCGCUCCUGCUAACCUGGUGGGUCCUCGAUCUGCACAUGCCACAGCUCCUGUGAAUAUUGCCAGCUCCAGAACUCCUGCUGCCUUGGCCCCUGCAAGUCUCACCAGUGCUAGGAUGGCUCCAGCAUUGUCUGGUGCAAACCUCACCAGCCCCAGGGUCCCCCUUUCUGCCUAUGAGCGUGUUAGCGGCAGGGCCUCACCACCGCUUCUUGACCGAGCUAGGUCCAGGACACCACCAUCUGCCCCGAGCCACUCUAGAAUGACCUCUGAGCGGGCUCCUUCCCCUGUCUCUAGAAUGGCCCAGGCCCCCUCGCAAUCUCUUCUCCCUCCAGCUCAGGAUCAGCCUAGGUCCCCUGCGCCAUCUGCUUUUUCAGACCAGUCCCGUACUUUGAUGGCCCAGACCACCUCUGUAGCAGGGUCUCAGUCCCUUUCUUCUGGGACAGUGGCAAAGGCUACGUCCUCUGCUGGUGACCACAAUGGUAUGCUCUCUGGCCCUGCUUCCGGGCUGUCCCAUCCUGAGGAUGGGGAGCCACCUGCUUCUACUGGGGCCCAGCAACCUUCUGCAUUGGCCGCCCUGCAGCCAGCAAAGGAGCGGCGGAGCUCUUCAUCAUCAUCCUCAUCCUCGAGCUCUUCCUCCUCUUCCUCCUCCUCAUCAUCAAGCUCCUCCUCUUCCUCUGGCUCCAGUUCUAGCGACUCGGAAGGCUCUAGCCUUCCCACUCAACCUGAGGUGGCACUGAAGAGGGUACCCACCCCGACCCCAGCACCAGAGGUGGUUCGGGAGGGUCGUCCUCCAGAGCCCACUCCAGCCAAGCGGAAGAGGCGUUCCAGCAGUUCCAGCUCCAGUUCCUCCUCCUCUUCCUCUUCCUCCUCCUCCUCCUCCUCUUCCUCUUCCUCCUCCUCCUCCUCCUCUUCCUCCUCCUCCUCCUCUUCCUCCUCUUCCUCUUCCCCCUCCCCUGCUAAGCCUGGUCCCCAGGCCUUGCCCAAACCUGCAAGCCCUAAGAAGCCACCCCCUGGUGAGCGGAGCCUCCUCCCUGUCUCCCUGCCUCCACGCCAUUCUCUUCCACACGUAGCCAGAGGGAUCUUUCUAAAACGCACACCUGGUUACUUCCCUCCACUCCACAAAUCCUUCCGGGACGCCCUGUGGCCUGCAGGAUAAAGCCCCACCUCUGCGGGAAUGGCGUGUGAGGCUCUUCACCAACUGGCCUUGCCCGCCCUGUGUUCUCCUCUCCUGCCCGCCCCCCACACAUGCCCUGUGCUCCAGCCAUACCCAGCGCCUUGCAGUCUAAGGAGAGCCCCAUGCCUUUGGACAUGCUGUUCCUUCUGCCUGGAAUUUCCUUGUCCGCCUGGUGAACUCCUCGUUCUGCAAGACUCCGCUCAAACCGCACCUUCGAGAAGACUGCCCUGCCCCUUUCCUGCCCUGCCCCAUGCCCUCCCACCUGCCCUGAGUCCCCAGACUCGUGCACAUCCAUCCUUGCGGGGCUGCUUCCCACACAUGGGGCCAUGCGUGCCUCCCUUGUUGGCCCUCUACCAGACUGAGCUCCUCCAAGGGCAGGGACUGUCUUUAUCUUUGCAUCCCCCGCUGCACCCUGUGCCCUGCCCUCUGGGGCACUCGGUGGAUGGUGUGCGGGCGGAUGGGUGAGCAAGCAGACAAAGGUGGGUUUGAGGCUGGCCCUGCGUGGUGUGAGGUGUGGUGGUCAGGACCUGGGUGGGUGGUCCUGAGUGCUGGCUGGUGGGUUUGGAAGGGUGUGGUACCAUGGAAUCUGCUCUGCUCCCCAGGUCCCGUAGCCCUCGGAAGCCAAUAGACUCUCUUCGGGACUCCCGGUCCCUCAGCUACUCACCUGUAGAGCGUCGCCGUCCUUCGCCUCAGCCCUCACCACGGGACCAGCAGAGGUCUCCAUAAUCACCUUGGGGAACUCCACCACACCCCAUACUCUGGAGCCACAGGGAGUGUCCUUUUUCCCCCAGCAAAGCCACGGGAGGGGUCCUUGUCUGGCCACCCCCUAAAACCCUGGCAGCAUUUUUGGGGAGGGCUCCCUGUUUCCCUCCCCCCUUUUUUCUUUGUUCCUGUGAAAUGUUUAUCUCUGUGAGUUUUUUCUGGUUCACGUGUUUUUGGGGGUUUAGGGUGGGAGGGAAUGCGUGGAUGGGAGUUUGAGGGGAGGAUGCAGUUUAGGACACCUGGGAUUCCCUAUAGGGCCUGGGAGGUGUGGUUUCCCUAUAUCCCCAAGUUCCUGGGGGAGGGGUUGAUGGUUUAGGAUUUGGGAAGUU